GGCGAACGCUGGCGGCGUGCUUAACACAUGCAAGUCGAACGGUAAACUCCUCUUGCUGUGGUAUCAGUGGCGGACGGGUGCGUAACGCGGGGGCAACCUUCCCUCACUUCUUUUUUGACUACGAUAAAGUAGGGCUAAUUCCGGUUAUACCCGCUGCCCGCAUGGGCUGUUGGGGGAAGUAUUUGUCGGCUGGGGCUGGUGCCGCGGCCUAUCAGCUUGUUGGUGGUGUAGUGGCAUACCAAGGACACGACGGGUGGCCGGCCGGAGAGGGUGACCGGCCACAAUGGGCCUGAGAGACGGCCCAGAGUCCUACGGGAGGCAGCAGUGGGGAAUAUUGCGCAAUGGGCGCAAGCCUGAAGCAGCGACGCCGCGUGGGGGAUGACGGCCUUCGGGUUGUAAAACGCUUUCAGCUGGGACGAAGCGAUAGUGACGGUACCUGAAGAAGAAGCACCGGCUAACUACGUG
rnacentral:rRNA from 1 species